rnacentral:rRNA from 1 species
UACGUAGGGGGCAAGCGUUGUCCGGAAUCAUUGGGCGUAAAGCGCGUGUAGGCGGCCAGAUAAGUCCGCUGUGAAAUCUCGAGGCUCAACUUCGAGCUGUCGGUGAAACUGUCUGGCUAGAGUCCGGAAGAGGAGAGUGGAAUUCCUGGUGUAGCGGUGAAAUGCGCAGAUAUCAGGAAGAACACCCGUGGCGAAGGCGGCUCUCUGGGACGGUACUGACGCUGAGACGCGAAAGCGUGGGGAGCGAACAGG